CCACUACCAUAAUGCGUUCUUCUCCACUGCCAGGUUACACCUCAGCUUCUGUGUUCCCAAAUGCGCACAGAGACAGCACCACCACUGGAGAUUAGCAGGCAAGCAGGAUUAGGUAGGCUCUGGAUUUUUUUUUGGACUGUCAUCAAAUCACAUGGAUUCAACAAAGCAAGACAUCAAGUCAUGCAUUUGUUCCCCAAGAAACAUCACACAAACUUUCUUACACAAAGAGAAGAUGAAGAGCUUCUGUAAAGUACAAUCAUCCUGCUCCAAAUGGAUAUGAACUGAAGUUCAUGAACAUGAACUCCAAUUGAAUUGGACUAUCAUCAAGCAAACAAACAGAAAAAGCAAAGGAAAGUUUAGUUGCCAGUAGACUUGGUCAUAAGCACCAACGGCAUCAAGCUGCUUCUACUACUGUUGAAGACUGACACCCACAAUUGCUCCUGCAAUAGCUCACUAGAAGAAAACAUUUUCAACAAAAAUAAUGAAGUUCUAAGAUUUUUAGGAAAAAACUGAAUGGAAACUACAGCUCACCAGUGCUAUCAAGUCAAAUGAGGCUUUAUGUCCUGGGAGAAACAGAGUAGGUUUUGGCAGUAUGUUCAGCAGAUUUUUUUAAGUCAGCUGUUACACAGAUAUACACACAAGACAGAAUACAAACUGAGUCAUGUGUUCCCAAUUCCUAAGCUUGUGUGUUCGCGUAUCUCCCUCUGAAUGAUGGGUAGGAGAGAAAAGCCUACAUGAGAAACAUACGAAAUGGAUACUCCUUCUCACCACACCAAACAUGCAUUUUACCUGGCAGGACUGUGCCUCAGAAUCGAGAUUAAUAAUCAGUAAUGCUGUUCUCCAACUUUAUCAUCAAGCAUGUCUUACACAUAAUGAAGACUGCAAAAGGUAAAAACUUCAGAUCUUCAGUAUAGCAGAUCCAUGUAUCACCCACUCAGCUGUGUACAUGCCCAACGUAUACAACCAAUUGUUGCUGUCUGAUGUGCUGUAUUUCCACUGAUGGAAAUACCCUUAUAACAUAUGCACAACACUGCUUCAAUAUGUUACAUUUCUUUUUCUAUUGGUUGGUCGAGAAAGAAUAAAAUCAAUCCUAUCUAUUAAAGCUGUUCUUAUCAUUAAACUUAUACUCUAUGCUGGACAGGAUAAAACACAGAUACACUUUUCUUCCACUUUCUUUUAAAGUGAAACACACAAAAUGUUGAGACAAGCCAGAUACAUAAUCCUAUGUCUUCCAAACUUUUGAGUCACUUAAAAACAUGUAACACAGCUCAAAGUAUCAGGACAAAGUUGUACAAGCCAAGCCAUGGCUGGUUUGCAGGCCAAUGUACUUAAAAAGUAUCCUUAAAAAGCAUCCUUAAAACAAGUACUGUACAAAGUCUAUUGAAUAUUUACAUAAUUGUCAGAAAAGUAAAUUUGCUGCAUUUUAAAAUACUGAGAUCUAACCAAAAAAUCCUUAAGUGAAUAAGUAGACGAGUAAUAGGAGGUCUAUCAUAUCCUGACCUUAGAUAAAAAAUUAACUUUACUCAUAUUAACUAGAGGAACAUGUGUUAGCAGAAAUGUUCUCAUUCCCUACUUCUACAAAUGGGAUUAUCAGGCAGGGGUUUUUUUAAGAGCUAUAUUUCAAAAAGAUAAGCAUAUACCACGUUAAGCAGAAGCAUGCUCAGAGGACAAAACACUUUGCUUCUACUGUAAGCUCUGCCUAAGACAUCACUAGGACUUUUAUAAUGGUUCCUUCAUAAGCCAAGCAAUCCACUUUUGUGUUUGCAAUGGUUUACUGUGAAAAUGACCAAACUUCCUCCCGCCUGCAUUCAUUCCCUGUGUCGACUACAAUUUGGCCACGUCAUCUCAGCUAUAAAUCCCCAUCUCACAAUGAACUACUCAUUAGAGAAAUAGAGAAUGCAGUGCUUGAAAAAAACCAACUUCCAUCUUUUCACAGACAAAUCAUAAUAGCAGUCUCAUUAUCAUGCUAAUGCUUUCAAGAGACUAUCAGAAACUAAUUUUCUUCUACCCUCUCCAGAGAAGCCCCUUCCCUUGCAAAUUUUCUGAAAAUGUAAUUGUUUUAAUAAGCUGUUAAAUAAGAAUGAGAAAUUAAAUUGAAAACAAUAUCAAAAGCACAAAUAGAGGCUUGGACCAAAAAAAUUACAUUUGAAAUUAAUGAGACACAGUUUGAAGUACACCAAAAAAAUUUACAAUCCUAGACAUGGCACCAAACAGAAAGGGAGAAAAUUAAUUAAUGAGUCAUUAAGUAUUAAGUCAAGGCUCAGUGUGGUCUCAUUAGCCAAGUAGGUUAGACCUAAUUAAAACUUAGUACAAGAUUCACGUGAAAAGCCUAAACUGGCUGUUGCAGGCUGUCAGAGUGGGUGCUGACCACUGAACCUGCACAUAUCUAGAGAAACUCUUUUGCUAGAUGCUUUCUACUUUUAAACACAAUAAAAAAGUGUGUCAGUGCUGUAUACCCUUCAAGGUAUUAUAUUUCCUAAAGAUGCCAGGAAAAAAGGCCAAACUAAUUCCCGCUUAAUUGUGACAGCCAUCUUCUGACUCAUCACAACAUCACCUGGUAUUUCUGCUGCUGGCUAUGCAGUACAUACGGUGUUUUCUACCUGCACUGGUGCUAGGCAUGUUGUAUAGAAACUCAGGGAGGGAAAGCAGGGAAGAAGCACAGGUACCACAUUCCAAACACCCUCCUCAGCCAAACCAUGUAUCAAAUUGCCCC